CAGCCGCCGCGGGAAUACGAACCGUGCGAACGUUAUUCGGAAUCACUGGGCUUAAAGCGCGUGUAGGCGGGCCGUCACGUCGGCUGCUGAAAUCCCCCGGCUCAACCGGGGAAGUGGCACCGAUACGAGCGGCCUUGAGGGGGGUAGGGGGGUCUGGAACUUCCGGUGGAGCGGUGAAAUGCGUUGAGAUCGGAAGGAACGCCCGUGGCGAAAGCGAGGCCCUGGACCCUUUCUGGCGCUGAGACGCGAAAGCCAGGGGAGCGAACGGGAUUAGAUACCCCAGUAGUCCCUGUCUCUUAUU
rnacentral:rRNA from 1 species